rnacentral:rRNA from 1 species
UACAUGGGGUGCAAACGUUGCUCGGAAUCAUUGGGCGUAAAGCGCGUGUAGGCGGCCACGCAGGUCCGCUGUGAAAACUCGAGGCUCAACCUCGAGAUGUCGGUGGAAACCGCGUGGCUAGAGUCCGGAAGAGGAGAGUGGAAUUCCCGGUGUAGCGGUGAAAUGCGUAGAUAUUGGGAGGAACACCAGUGGCGAAGGCGGCUCACUGGACCGGAACUGACGCUGAGGCGCGAAAGCGUGGGGAGCGAACAGG